CCUACGGGAGGCAGCAGUGGGGAAUAUUGCACAAUGGGCGGAACUCUGAUGCAGCAACGCCGCGUGAGUGAAGAAGUCUUUCGGUUUGUAAAGCUCUAUCAUCAGGGAAGAACAUGACGGAACCUGACUAAGAAGCCCCGGCUAACUACGUGCCAGCAGCCGCCGUCAUACGUAGGGGCCAAGCGUUCUCCGGUUUUAUUGGGUGUAACGGGAGCGUAGGCGGUUAUUCAAGUCGGAAGUGAAAGCCCAAGGCUCAACCAUGGAACUGCUUUGGAUACUGGAAAACUUGAGUGCAGGAGAGGUGAGUGGAAUUCCAAGUGUAGCGGUGAAAUGCGUAGAUAUUAGGAGGAACACCAGUGGCGAAGGCGGCUUACGGGUCUGUAACUGACGUUGAGGCUCGAAAGCGUGGGGAGCAAACAGGAUUAGAUACCCCAGUAGUC
rnacentral:rRNA from 1 species